rnacentral:rRNA from 1 species
UACGUAGGGCGCAAGCGUUGUCCGGAAUUAUUGGGCGUAAAGAGCUCGUAGGCGGCUUGUCACGUCGGUUGUGAAAGCCCGGGGCUUAACCCCGGGUCUGCAGUCGAUACGGGCAGGCUAGAGUGUGGUAGGGGAGAUCGGAAUUCCUGGUGUAGCGGUGGAAUGCGCAGAUAUCAGGAGGAACACCGGUGGCGAAGGCGGGUCUCUGGGCAGUAACUGACGCUGAGGAGCGAAAGCGUGAGGAGCGAACAGG